rnacentral:lncRNA from 1 species
GUAAAUUUGAGGGCGGAAAAAUUCACCAGUACGCGGUUUUCCUAGUUUUCUCAUUCCUUCGCGAACUCGCGCGGGUCGCGAGAUCCGUAAACCUUCCCAGCGUUCUUUGCAAGGACGGUUCCGUCAUAUUGUGAAAAAGCCGCCAAAGUAGAAGCUCCGGUCAAGUAUGUUGCUGAUUGUUUUAUAAAGAGCUGGGAAGAAGUCUGUAUUGGCGCGAAGUUCAACUCAGUUGGAGGGAGGUGGAGACACAUUAGGACAAGACAAGAACAGGAUUUACAUUAGUUAGCCUAUUCUAGAUUUAUGAUUUUAUUGCAAUCGAAGACCCAGGUAAACACUUGUGUUCUUGUGCAUUGAUCAAAUCCAAACUAAACCUGGCUGAUUCCCAUUCUGGACGUUGGACCACCCCUGGGAUUACUCCUGAUGGUUAACCUCCUCCUCCCCCUAGAUAUUGGGAUUAAAAUCACUAAAUUCUAGGACAAGAAAUAAUUAAAAUUGACCAUUAUUCAAGUUGAAUGGGAAAAGAAAAAUUGAAUGUGGAAAAGAUUCCCUUUCUUGACUGCGUAUUAAGCCUCAGGAGCAAUGUAUUGCAAUGACGGUUCAUAUAAGACCAAAUCAUAUGCUGACUGGCAAUAGGACUAACCACCCUACACCCAUGGCUUACAUUCAGAGGGGCUUAUUGUUAAAAGGUUUUAUUUUACCUAAAAAAGUUGAGAGGAUGGGCUUAUUAAUUUUUACAGUAACCUACAACAUGGGCUCUUUUAAGGCAUUUUUAUUGCACAAAUCUAGGUACAGCCCUACAAUUUAUUAUACAUACCCAACAAAUCUAUUACUGCAUUAUGACAUUGACUGACAAAUAGGACAGGGAUACAGAAAUGUAAGUCUUGCAUCAUACUGCACAAGAUCAUUACAAAUGUUUCAGCUGCUGGGCAAGAGAGACUGGCAGAAUUAUGAAGAUCACACUGCCAAAAUGCAAAUGAAUGUGAUGUUAACUAUGAUAUUACUGAACACCAUCAUGUACAUUCACAAAUUUGACUGGGUUAUAUUCACAAACUACUUUCAAUGACCGACUGUAGAAAGCUGGUACACUAACUUAGACCACAACUGACAAUAACUGAUCAAGAAUAUAGACUAUAUACAUGCAUGUCUUUGAAACAGCUAACAACAUCACAGUGUUACUGUAAACAUUUCAGUCAGCUACAACUUUCCUGUUCAGGACAACCCUUGAUCAGCAGAUCACACUGAUACUUCUACCAUUUACCUUAUGUUACAUGUUACAGUACAUCAGUUUCAAGUCUCAUGAAAAAUAUUUUCUAGUCAGUGUAAGGGAAAAGUCAGAGAGAUUAAUUUUCUCUAUGCCUAGCAUACUCUCAGAGUUUUCUUUCUGGCACCUCUUUGGACAACUUGCAACAGGACAGAGUUACGGGUUUAACUAACAGUGAAUUUUCUGGGUUUAGCCAGGUUAAGAAAGUUUUGAAUUGAUCUUUGUAUUGUAUAAUGUAAACCAAGUUCUGCUUUAGGUUUUGCAAGACCACAGACAUCCUUGCUUACAGUCACAAUAUAAUUGGUCCGUCAAGCAAAUUGCUUUUUAACACAUUUUGGCAGUGGAUAACUCCCUUAUUUUUGAUAGCAAUUUUGUUGCACUUGAUGUUAUUACUGUAUUUCUUCUGUUUAACCUUAAAAAGGGGAGCUUUUUAAAUGGAAGUCUAAUAAGAGGGGGUAAGGGGUCUUUAUAGGCCCCUGAUUGUUCUCAACUAUCAAAAAUAGGAACUUAUUUAGAUGAGAAAGAAAAGUUUUUUUAGGGGGAUGGGGUUGCUAAAACGAGAUUUCAUAUAAAUUUGGUUGUACCUAAAAGAAAGGGGUUCAAUUGAAGAUUUGACUGAUAUUCACUGUUAACACACAAGGGAAAUUAAGAAAAUUGGAUUUUUUAGGAUGGACCGGGCUCAUGCAAGUUUUAUUCGUGAACAGGGUUCAGAGUAACAAGGGCAAAUGAAUGGGUAGGGCAGUGGGGACUCAUAUCAAUAGAGGUCAAAUUGAGGAAAUACAGUAAUUCUGAAUUUUCAAAACACUUUUGAAAGAAAAUGAUAUAUCAUUUCUAAUCA